CGGGGCUUAAAGUCUUGUAAUUGGAAUGAUGGGAAUUUAAACCUCUUCCAGAGUAUCAAUUGGAGGGCAAGUCUGGUGCCAGCAGCCGCGGUAAUUCCAGCUCCAAUAGCGUAUAUUAAAAUUGUUGCAGUUAAAAAGCUCGUAGUUGAAUUUCUGCUGCAUUGCUUGUGUCCCCCUGGGGUCUGUGCAUGUGGCUUUUUUCGGACGGAGUUUCUUUGUCUGAAUGUUUACUUUGAGAAAAUUAGAGUGCUCAAAGCAGGCUUUCGCCUUGAAUAGUUUAGCAUGGAAUAAUAAAGUAGGACUUUGGUUCUAUUUUGUUGGUUUUAGGUACCAAAGUAAUGGUUAAUAGGAACAGUUGGGGGCAUUCGUAUUUAACUGUCAGAGGUGAAAUUCUUAGAUUUGUUAAAGACGAACUACUGCGAAAGCAUUUGCCAAGGAUGUUUUCAUUAAUCAAGAAC
rnacentral:rRNA from 1 species